rnacentral:rRNA from 1 species
GCAAGUCGAACGAACCUUCGGGUGAGUGGCGCACGGGUGCGUAACACGUGGGAAUUUACAUUUCGGUAAGGAAUAACGUAGAGAAAUUUGCGCUAAUACCUUAUAAUGACUCCGGUCCAAAGAUUUAUCGCCGAAGGAUAAGCCCGCGCUAGAUUAGGUAGUUGGUGUGGUAAAGGCUCACCAAGGCGACGAUCCAUAGCUGGUCUGAGAGGAUGAUC